rnacentral:rRNA from 1 species
ACUACGGGUGGCAGCAGUGGGGAAUAUUGCACAAUGGGGGAAACCCUGAUGCAGCGACGCCGCGUGAGUGAAGAAGUAUUUCGGUAUGUAAAGCUCUAUCAGCAGGGAAGAAAAUGACGGUACCUGACGAAGAAGCCCCGGCUAACUACGUGCCAGAAGCCGCGGUAAUACGUAGGGGGCAAGCGUUAUCCGGAUUUACUGGGUGGAAAGGGAGCGUAGACGGCCAGACAAGUCAGAAGUGAAAGCCCAGGGCUCAACCCUGGGACUGCUUUUGAAACUGCCGGGCUGGAGUGCAGGAGAGGUAAGCGGAAUUCCUAGUGUAGCGGUGAAAUGCGUAGAUAUUAGGAGGAACACCAGUGGCGAAGGCGGCUUACUGGACUGUAACUGACGUUGAGGCUCGAAAGCGUGGGGAGCAAACAGGAUUAGAUACCCUGGUAGUC